AAGGAGGGCACAGAGCCAUCUGUAGUGUGGAGAAAUCUGAGCUGCUUUCUGCACUGAUGAUACUAAUGCUAUGCCAAAUGUGAGCAUGAGGAGGAAAAAAGGACAGCUGAGGAUUUGGCUCUACUCCUGAUUUCUGACUGCUGAACUCAGACUGACACAGCAGUUAACAGAAACAGGAUGUCAAUAAACACAUGAUGAAAUCUCCAGUUCUCACAGGUCUCUUCCUCCUGAGAAAUCUCAUUUAAGUAAACCCGCAAGGCUACUUUGCAAGAAAAGGAGACUGAAUAAAACAGUGGGAGACACAAGAAGAGACAAAUAGUCAAGGAAGGGCUUCUUUCUUUUAUUAUCAUUCUGUUGUCAUCCAGCUUAGCUGUUCAGCUCCUAAAGUCAGAGGACCCAAAAUCCUAGGAUUAUUCAUGUUGGAAAAGACCUUCAGAUGUCAUCGAGUCCCAUCAUAUGUGUCCUCCUGUAUAUGUAUCCUGUACUCCAUACAGACAUUCUCUUGACCUAUCCAUGGCAAUCUCUGAAGAAAACAUUCUCGAUAUUAGGUGUCAUGUUAUGUGCAUAUUGCAAUUAUUUCCAUCUCUUCCGUCUGAGGUAUAAUCCUGAGGAUUUUCCUGCUCUGAUGAAGUUGCACAAUAUCUCUGAUCUGGGGAUGCCUUGGACUUGGAUUAGAGCCUUUGUCUUUUGCUUGUCUCUGCUUCUGCUGACGACUCAAACAUUCUGAGAGUCCUUGAGGUUUAGCGAAGAUGUUGGAAUUGUUAAAACCAAAAGCUAGUCAAAGACAACUUGAAAUAGAGCUCAGGUAUCUAUUGGUCUUGCAAAUUCUGGCAGAAGUUUUGGAUUAGAAAUGAAGUUAAAAAGCAGCCCAAGCAGUUCCAUUAUUUAGGAGUGUGUGGGGAUUCCUGACCACAAACAGGGCAUAUUUUAUCCCAGUUGUCCCUAUUGGAUACUUCUGAUUUAAGAGUAGUUUUUAAGUCUUAUUCUUCACAAUUUAUCUCUAGUUAUUCCAAAGCAUUUGAAAUUCUCACCACAGCUGAUAUCUGGCAGAAAACAGUCUGAUCCACAGACCACUGAAUUGUUGAGAAAGCCUUUCUCAUUGGUUUCAAACUACUUGGAGAUGCAAAAUUGGAAUCAGUGUAUGAACUUACCGUAUAAUGUCUGGCUCAUGGAUAUUUCACUGGACUUCUCACAUGGCUUCAUCUUUGUGUUCCUGUACCUUCUAAGGAAGACCUAAUUUGGUCAUAGCACCUUUUAUGAAGUGCUUUUUAAUGUUGUAUUACAUACCAAAAAUUUAAUUCCAGUUUUGAAGAAUUUUUCCGUUUUUGACUCUCAGUGUUAUGGUUUAAUAUGUGAACAAAUCUCUAAAGGUUACUAAUUGCUAAUUAACCCAGAAAGGGAAGAGUCCUGGUGAAAUGUGUGCUGUACACAUCAGAGCUCUCAUGGUGCUCAGAAUUUGCUCACUAAAAUCAGCCCUAUAAAUCUUCAUUAGGCCACAAGCUCUGGGCACUGUUACAACUCUAAUUCAGGUUUUCCACAUCCAUAUCUCAGAUUGCACAUAGUGAAGAUACUACCUCAUUUCCACAUCAUUUACAAAGGGUGUAUUUUUCCCUACUGAGAAGUCUCAUUGUAAGAGCAAUCAGCAAUUCAGAGCUAUCAAUUAAACAUAGAGCCUUUUAAAUGGCAGUAAAAGUGAAAUGGUAGAGUGGAAUGGGAAGGAAUCUAAAAACAGGUGCAAUUACACUCAUUUUUAUUUCAGACUCUUAAAUUUUUAUGUCUUUUACAGGCACAUGAAUAAAUGAAUUAUACAGGAUUACAACUUUUGGGAAUUAAUUCAUGCUAUUCCAGAAAGCUCUAGUUCAGCAGAGGUGGCAAAAGGAAUAAUAGGUUCUAAAGGCACCAGAUGUUGGCUGUGAGUCUUCCAGUGAUUCCAGAACACAUCUGGAAUUACAGUUCCAUUGAUUUCAUUGAAACAAGCAACACAUUUCUCUUCUAGAGUUCCAGCAUUUGAAUGAAAGAACUGGAAUAAGGUUCUAUCUGAGUUAUUUUAUAGUUUUAGACAGGAAUUAAACCUUUACAAAUGUUAAGGAAUGUUAUCUGUUUAACUGAAUCACACCAAGCCCUUUUUGCACAUUUUAAUUAUCCUAUGUUUUCAGUAGAUGGCAGAAACUGAAGAAGCUGAGACCAUGUGGAAUUCAGGACACUUUGUAAAACUGGGAGCUUAUAAAACCACUGCUUCCUACCAAGUCCUGCUAAUAGUCCAGAUUGCCUUUCUCCAUCACUCCUUAUUGAGAACAAGAUUAUUAGCAAUGAGUCUGUUUUCAAGCAUGUUUACAGUAUGUACACACAUAUUUUUCCAGACGUGAAAUAAUUCCUUUCCAAUGUAAGGUCAGAUGACCACAGCACUAGUUUGCAGAGUGAAUCCUGUACCAGAUAUGAAAUGCUGCUUGGUAUCUCUUCCUCACUGAUUCCAUUGUACCAUCCACAAGAUGCAUCUCAUGGUUGGCUUUGUUUGAGCAUAAACUAUUCCAUAGUAUGCCUCAUUAAAUUUUGCCUUAGCUGCAAAAGUGUGUGAAGAGGAAACGUGGUUCCAUGACUUGCAUAUGUGAAUGCAAUUGAUGGGUUCAGCCUGAUCCUCUUGAUUUAUGUUACAAAGUUCACACAGGAACAAUUAGGAACAGAAAGUGGAACUUUGUUGUUCCACUUUACAUACAUCCAGUUUUUAAGUUAGUGACAUUUUGGUUUCAUGAUCUUGAGUAGAGGCUCAAAAAAGUGCAGCAAACCCCUUUCCUCCUCCUUUCCUGCAGCUGAGUUUCUACAGUGGGUGAGGAGCCAUGGUCA